rnacentral:rRNA from 1 species
GACGAACGCUGGCGGCGUGCUUAACACAUGCAAGUCGAACGGAAAGGCCCUGCUUGCAGGGUACUCGAGUGGCGAACGGGUGAGUAACACGUGGGUGCUCUGCCCUGCACUUCGGGAUAAGCCUGGGAAACUGGGUCUAAUACCGGAUAGGAGCCAUGAUCAGUGUGAGGGUUGGAAAGUUUUUUCGGUGUAGGGUGAGCUCGCGGCCUAUCGGCGGGUUGGUGGGGUGAUGGCCUACCAAGGCGGCGACGGGUAGCCGGCCUGUGGGGGUGGACGGCCGCACUGGGACUGACGUGCGGCCCCGGUGCCUACGGGUGGCAGCAGUGGGGAAUAUUGCACCAUGGGCGCAAGCCUGAUGCAGCGGCGCCGCGUGGUGUAUAACGGCCUUCGGGUUGUAGAAUCCUUUCGCUAGGGACGAAGCUUUUUGUGACGGUACCUAGAUAAGAAGCACCGGCUAACUACGUG